AAGUGGAGCAAUCCAUGAGUAAAGUGGCGACCGGGUGAGUAACACGUGACUAACCUACCUUCGAGUGGGGGAUAACCUCGGGAAACCGAGGCUAAUACCGCAUAAUAUCGAGAGAUCAAAGGAGCAAUCCGCUUUUGGAGGGGGUCGCGGCUGAUUAGCUAGUUGGUAGGGUAAUGGCCUACCAAGGCGAAGAUCGGUAUCCGGCCUGAGAGGGCGCACGGACACACUGGAACUGAAACACGGUCCAGACUCCUACGGGAGGCAGCAGUGGGGAAUUUUGCGCAAUGGGGGAAACCCUGACGCAGCAACGCCGCGUGGAGGAUGAAGUACUUCGGU
rnacentral:rRNA from 1 species